UACGUAGGGUGCAAGCGUUGUCCGGAAUUAUUGGGCGUAAAGAGCUUGUAGGCGGUUUGUCGCGUCUGCUGUGAAAUUUCGGGGCUCAACCCCGAACUUGCAGUGGGUACGGGCAGACCAGAGUGUGGUAGGGGAGACUGGAAUUCCUGGUGUAGCGGUGAAAUGCGCAGAUAUCAGGAGGAACACCAAUGGCGAAGGCAGCUCACUGGGACGGUAUUGACGCUGAGACGCGAAAGCGUGGGGAGCAAACAGG
rnacentral:rRNA from 1 species